AGUGAACGCUGGCGGUAGGCCUAACACAUGCAAGUCGAACGGCAGCACAGUAAGAGCUUGCUCUUACGGGUGGCGAGUGGCGGACGGGUGAGGAAUACAUCGGAAUCUACUUUUUCGUGGGGGAUAACGUAGGGAAACUUACGCUAAUACCGCAUACGACCUACGGGUGAAAGCAUGGGAUCUUCGGACCUUGCGCGAUUGAAUGAGCCGAUGUCGGAUUAGCUAGUUGGCGGGGUAAAGGCCCACCAAGGCGACGAUCCGUAGCUGGUCUGAGAGGAUGAUCAGCCACACUGGAACUGAGACACGGUCCAGACUCCUACGGGAGGCAGCAGUGGGGAAUAUUGGACAAUGGGCGCAAGCCUGAUCCAGCCAUACCGCGUGUGUGAAGAAGGUCUUCGGGUUGUAAAGCCCUUUUGUUGGGAAAGAAAAGCAGCAGGUUAAUACCCCGCUGUUCUGACGGUACCCAAAGAAUAAGCACCGGCUAACUUCGUG
rnacentral:rRNA from 1 species